ACUGCUGUAAUAAUUAAAUAUUUGUUUAGUUCUCACCUAAGCUCGGCUUAUUUUGCUGUAAAUCAUUAAACUGUUACGCUGCCUCAGAAGUCUGUCCGAAAUCAGUUUUGUGAGGUGCCUUCAUGCACAAACACUUCCUUACAAGUCAUUGCCUGAUAAGGCAGCGAGGCAACAAGUCAGCUGCCUAGUUUUUCGGAUGCAGCCGUUGAAUAUCUGCGUCGCAUUUCUAUGACAGUUAAAAAAACACGCGCACCUCGCACCUCACGAGCUCACGAGCCGCGUCGCGUGAAUGCCUCGUAGUGUAGGCCUACCGCUGCAUUGAUUAUAAUGGGAGCGCACAUAUCCGAUUUCUAAAUUUGACGUGUUGCUCGCGUGCAGUGUAGUAAAUGGUGUAUUACAGCAAUAAUCAACUUUCCACAGCAGUAUACUCCAGACAUGAAGAUUGCAGGUUGAUCUUUAUCUCAGAAUGUCACAUCUGUCUCCAUGGCCGCAGAAAGCUCAUCUCUCCUACGCUGAUCUGAGACCAGCUUCUCCAGACGAACCCAAACAAGAACCAUUGUGAAGAAUCAUUGGUCAUAUUCAGCAAUGAGUAACUCCCAUGAUGCAUCAGGAUGAAUCAUGCCCACCCAGGUGAUUGGCUUUGGCUUAGUGUCUUGCUUCUGUUUCCACUAGAAUCUCUUGUGGUUUUGGACGAUCUCAGUGAAAGGCAAGUGGACUAACAUCCUUAGCCGUUGCACGUGGAGGGUGCUGCGAACUCGCACCAUUAUUCACUCUUGGAGACCCAUAAUUAAUCUGAUCUGUGGCUAAUUGCCAUUUCAAGGUUGAAAGAAUCCGCUGAGCUACAGCAUUUUUACUAAAAAGAGUGUCAACUGCAGCACAAAGGAAGCUGUGCAAUCCUGGACUUCACAGAGAGUUGAGGAAAGUUGUGUUUCCCCCCCCAAAAAAUAAAAAAACCACCAGACCUAUCAAAAUAAUUGGGAAUUCGUCUACAAAACAACCAAUGACGUAAGAACUGUGGAAAAUAACAAGUUUGCGCCGCUAAAUCUCAGCACAAGGAAACUGAAGAAAGUAAAUCUUUGCACAUUCAGUAACAAUGACAUCAUAUUCCAAGUAAAUUUCUGGGAAACUAAUCAGUGUUGUUCCACAUCCCCCAUUUCUUUUCAAGGUGUAAACGGGGUGAGCGUGUCGCAGCAUGCUCUACAUGCAAAGAACAUGGGAAGCAGGAAACAGAACAGCGACUCAUGGCGCUGCAUUCAGACCACCCUUUGGGUUGAUGUGACUCAAAGGAAGAAAAUGUUCCUCUCAAAAUGUACCCUCAAAUGACCAAACCCAAGGAACUGGCCCUCUCAUGCCCCUUAUACAGCAAGUCCUGUCAUGACCAAGCAUUUUUCCAGGAAUACUUCACCACAGGGACACAGUGAAAUUCAGAGCAGUUUGGAAAUAGACAUUCUGGAUACUAAAAACCAGAGUGUGAGCUAUAUGGAAUUCAUUUAGCCAGCUGUUACGUGAUGAUGAAUUCUCAAAGGGUGGCAAAUUAUGCUUGAAAUACACACAUGCAUGCAGAGACAUAUUCGUAUGUCUGAUAAACGAGCGACUUAAAUAAAGCGAGACACCAACACAUUUUUGGCAACAAAAAGAAAAAGCAAUUUGCUUCUGAAACAAGCUCUCACUGAGGUCAAAACAGGGCCUUUGGGAUGUUUGUUUAUGUCUCACAGCUCCAACUAUGGAUGCAUUUAUGGGCAGAAAUAGACUCUGGUAGGUGUGGUCGCAUUUGUCCUUUGAACACCUGUUGACGUAACAGCUUUUUCUCAGGCGCAGGCUACAAAUGAUGAUAUUCAAACUUGUUGAGUAGCCUAUCAUUGAGCUGUCUAAACAAUAAACAUGUACUUGCAACACAUUAGCUCUGUUAAAAAACCUGGUGAGCUGCCUAUUUAGACAGAACUUUAAGGCAGAAGUCUUCUAAGAUAACUUUUUUUGGUCAAAGUUUCAGGCAGCAGCACGUGUCUCUUGCAGUACAGUCAAUCUCAGUUUGCAAUGUAGUAAGUUUAUUGAGAAAAAAAAAAAUUAAGAUGGCAGACAAAGAGUAAA